CCUACGGGGGGCUGCAGUAGGGAAUAUUGGACGAUGGGUGCGAGCCUGAUCCAGCCAUGCCGCGUGCAGGAAGAAGGCGUUAUGCGUUGUAAACUGCUUUUGCCAGGGGAUAAAAUAACUGUGCGCAGUUGAUUGAAGGUACCUGGUGAAUAAGCCACGGCUAACUACGUGCCAGCAGCCGCGGUAAUACGUAGGUGGCAAGCGUUGUCUGGAUUUAUUGGGUUUAAAGGGUGCCUUGUAGGUCCGUGGUGAACUAUCUCAGCUUAACUGAGAGGGUGCCAUUGAUACUGCGGGGCUUGAGUACAGAUGAGGUAGGCGUAAUUGACGGUGUAGCGGUGAAAUGCAUAGAUAUCGUCAAGAACACCGAUAGCGAAGGCAGCUUACCAAGCUGUAACUGACGCUGAGGCACGAAAGUGUGGGGAUCAACCAGGAUUAGAUACCCGGGUAGUC
rnacentral:rRNA from 1 species